rnacentral:snRNA from 1 species
GUCUGUCACUCUGAUUUGGCUGAUCUGCCAGAGUAGGUGGGUAUCCCUUUCCUCCCUGACCACUCCAUGCAUAUGCAUUGCUCCUGAAGCUGUGCAGCCAAUCCAGGUUGACAGCCUUUCCCAAAUAAAGGAGAACUAUUCUUUGGUCGACAGUACAGGUGCAGCUGCCUUCCCUUGCUAGAACAUCUAAACAAACUCCCAGUUUAUUACUAGAGACUAUGCCACUACAAAUAGCUGUGCAUAAAGUAGGACAUUGUUUUCCGUUUUGAAAUCAUUUAUCAAUUUGCACAUGUGUGUACAUGUGUGUAUAGGU